GAUCCUGGCUCAGUGGCAGAGCAUCUGCUUUGUGUGCAGAAAGUCCUCCCAGGUUCAAACCCCAGCGGCAUCU